AACCCGUGUCCCCUGCAUUGGCAGGCGGAUCCUUAACCACUGUGCCACCUGCGAAGCCCUAAGAAAUGGAUCUUUGUUUAAAAUACCCCAACUCCUCGUCCUCCUUAUCCUUCUCCUAACGCCUUUCCUCUGACUCUGGUCCUUUUCUCUCCUCCUUCCUUUCUCCUAAGAGUCAAGAAGAAGGUGGGGUGCUCCUGUGAGGAGCCUGGGUGUCCCGUAGGGCAUGGUCCUCAAUUCCUCACUCCCCUCAGUGCCAGCACAGAGCUCCACCACCCCCAUGCCCCCUUUACCCCCGCCCUUGACCGAAACUGCAGCCACGUCUCCUCUCCCCGCCACCCUGUGUGGCCCGAACCCCGCAGGCCAAGCCCUGCCCACAGGACGCCUUGCCCGUUGGUCGAGGCAUGGAGCCUCCCCUGUGUCCUGACUCCGUCACCUUUCCAGCAGGACAUUGUGCCUGCGGGGCUGUGGGUCUGUGAGCUGUCUUUCUCACCUUCCUCCACGGUGCCUGGCGCACAGAAGGUGCACAGUGAUGCAGAUGAACGAAUGACCUGCAGGUCGAUGAACGUACACAGGCAGCGAGGUGCGGUGCCCUCGAGUCAGGCAGCUCAGGCUUUGCAUCCUGGCAGCCCCGCUCCCUAGCUGUGUGUCCUUGGCAAAUGCCUUAAUGCCUCUGAAUCUCAGUUUCCUUCCAAGUCAGGGUGAGGAUUAAAGCAGAUCACGUGUGUAAACACUUAGGACAGUGCCUGGCACGUUAUGGGGCUCAGUAAAUGGCAGCUCGGGGAUCUGCCUCAAAGGGUGGCUGUCGGUUGACCUUGGGUUUGAUAGAAGUCACUGCUUCUUGUCCCGUCCAAGCGCCGUUAUCAGAUGUUCUCCCAUCGGCAGGUUCGUCAUCCCACUGAACAAAAGCAGAGAGGGGAGUGAUUGGCUGAGGUCACGUGACUGUUUGGUCUUGGAACCUGACCUCUCUGCCAGGACUUUUUGCCCCAGGUUUCCUGAAGACCCACCUUCUGCCGUCUGUGAGGGCAUUGCCCAGGACCAGGCUGUGGAUGCCAGACGCCAGGGGACUGGGCUGGGUGUACAUGGAACCAAGGACGCCCAUUUGAGCCGGAGCACAGGGGCCAGGAAGGGAGCCGUCCAAGAUGCAGCAUGAAAGAUCGGCUGAUGCUGGGACUGGACUGCCCUGUGGCAGGAAGGAGAUCCCACGAGAUUUAGCCAAGAGCAACUCCCCCAAGAGCCCAAGACUGGGCUGAGAGGACCCAGAAGCCUCCAGGGAAGCCAGGAGGUGGGACUCCUGGACGGUGGUGUGCUGGGGACACCGAACCCCUGAAGGUGGGGACUGGGUCUGAUUUGCCUCUGGGACUAAUCCUGGCCAGGUCCCCGGCCUCGGCCGCGACAUCGACCCAUGCAGUGUCCCGGCCAAGUGGCUGCUCCUCCCGGAGCCUCCGUUUCCUCACCUGUGACCUGGAUGAUCUCUGAGGCUGCUUCCAGCCCCAAAUGCUCCAGAGAGUCCUUGUUGAAAUGGAACUCAGACGACACGAGCCCUGCUCCAAGCUCCUGUGGGCCCUUCACACCUGGGCCCCUCCAGCCUUCCCGGUGAUCUGACCCCCGGCUCACUCUGCUCCAGCCACUCUGGUCUCCUAGCUCUUCUGAGACUCACCAGCACAGUCCCUCUUCAGGGCCUUUGCAUGCGCUCUACCAACUGACUGGAAUAUUCUCUGCCCAGAUGUUCCUCCUCUCUCCAUUCAGAUCUUUGUCGAAUGGCACACCCUUGCAGGGGCCUUCCCUGACCACCAUUUCUAAUGUAACCCCUCCUGUCACUCUCUCCCUGCUUUGUCAUCAUCGAGCUUGUAGCCACCUGCCAUUAGCCUGUUUACUUGUUCCUCGUCUGCCCCCUGAGGGCAGGGUGGUCUGUUUGGUCCACUGCUGAGCCCCAGAGCCGGGUCAGCGCUGGGCACAGGGCUCCACGUGUAUUUGUGGAGGAAGGAAGGAAGGAAGAAUCUCUUUCUCCUGCUCAUCCAUGGGGUGCCUCCCACACGUGGCCCAGUGUCAGGUGCUUUUAGAACUACGGGCAUCAGCAGAAGGGGCCACUGCUCACCUCAUCCAGGCUGGCCGCGAGGCACACGCGACGGGCCCAGAGCACAGUGGCUUCUUCCGGUACCCUGUGCCUCAUAGCAGAUGCGGUCUCUAGAGGCCGGAGAACCCGGGCUCGUGGGUCGAGGUGGGAAGGGGAGAAAGCUGGGUGGGGCUGAAAGAGAUUUAAUUAAAGUUUGGAAAAAACUUACAGCAAAACUCUGCAAAGAUGGAAGGGACUUCCUCAGGAGGAAAUACACCGCCUGUCAGCAGAGGGAGGCUGGUGGAGGCUGGGCAGCCCUGGAGCCGGGACCAGCCCUAGGACCUGCGGCCGUGCUGCCAGGACUCGGAGUGGAGGGGUGCCCUCGGGGUGGGGUGGGCCGGCCCUGAGGCUGGAAGCAGGCAGGGGUCACACGUCUGGCCAGGCCCAGGCAGCGGAAACCACGGCUCCAGUCGCCCGUCUAAAGGUAGCUGGGCCCCGGCCAAGCGGCCAUCUUGGGUCUCUGGGCCCUCCGAUCGCAGACCAGGCCUGGGAGACAGGAAAUUGCGGGCUCAGGGCCGGAAAGGCCCCCCAGUGGGCCCUCGCUCCCUCCCGCCUCCCAAAGUGGCCUCGGGCUCCUGCGCCCCGCGCCCAUGGGGUUAACUCUCUCCCUGUCUCUCUCUGCUCCAAGUUGUUUUCCAAGCGAGGCAGAGAAUGGUUCUCUUGUUACCAACAUGGCUUCUGGGCAUUGGGUAAUGUGCGCCUCUUCUCCCGGCCGCUCCACAAAGGGACCUUUUGUUCCCCUCCCUGCCCCUCUCUCUGGCUCUUCCCCGGCCCCCCACACACCCACCCGCUCCGACUCCCUCCUGCCCGCGCCUCCCGCCCUGCACGGCACCCCCGGGCCGCCAGGAGUGACCGUGGCCUGGCCGUGGCGCCCUCCGUCCCCUGGCGCCCCGCGAGCGGGCGCAGGGCCUGGUGGCCGAGGCGAUCGCGUUGCGGGCGGCCAGGUGGCUUCUGGGAGGCCACGGGGGGCAGAGUACGGGGUGCCUGGGGCACCAUGUGAGUUCUUGUGGUGCACCUCCUGUCCCAGGGAGGGGACCCUCCGCCCCCCACCCCAGGCCUCUUCCCUGCCUCGAGACAAGCUGCCCCUCCCAUCCACCAUCCCACUCCAACAGCACAGCAGCCUUGGGGUGGGAGUGACGACCCAUCUUCCCCGCAAGGUGGAGGCUGAGGCUCGGAGGGGGAGUGUCCUAACCAGGUGCUGCAGCGGGACCCAGCCGUGUGCCCCUCCCCCCAAACCUCGCUGAGAAAGCGACCUCAGGAUGCACCCCGUCCCACGGGAAACACCGGGGUGGGGCUGAGCCUCCAGCGAAAACCUAAAACCAAGUUUUCUGGAAUUUUUUUGAAAAUGAAACAGAAUGUGUCCAAGAUGGGAGUGUCAGGACGCCAGUCGGUAUUGAAGUGCCUGCUGUCAGGGAAGACGGUCUCUGUCUACUGUCCCCUCCCUUUCCUCUCCUGACAGCCCUGCAAGGCAGGUGAGGAUGGGCUGACGACGCAUUUUUCAGAUGAGGAAACUGAGGCACAGAGAGGCUGCCCAGCCAGGACUUGGGGCUCACCCAGGUGACUCCUGCCCUGGUCAUCUCUCUCCAACACUGCUGCCCACCCACCCCUUGAGAGGUCUGAGGCCUUGGGGAGGGGACUUAGGCAGAUCCCAGCAACGCUGGUUCCCUUGUCUGGAAUCACAGAAGCCAGAGGCCUGAGGAGGUUGUGCUCAGAUUCUCCAAAUAUUCACCAGUUCCUCCAUCUCAUGCUGUCCCUGAAUUUACAGUGAUGUGAAACAAUCACUGUGACGUGAAACAGAGCGAAGUGACCGCUCGUGGAGCACCCGCACGGUGCUAGCAGUGUGCAGUCACCUGUAACCUCCGUGCUGGGCUGGGGCCUUCGGUCCAUGGCAAGAAGAGGUAAAAUCGGUUGACAUGAUGAUGGAUGGGAUGGGGCGGGGGAGCAAGGGGGCCAGAGGGAGAAGGAAGCGCCUAGUCCUGCCCUCAAGGAGCCACAGUCCAGGAGGAGUGACAUAUCAGUAAAGAGCCAGCAUGUUGCAAGACAGGCAGCCUGGGAGCUCAUCACCAGGCUGGGAGGUGGGGGAAGGAGGGCUUCCUGGAGGAGGUGACUGUGCAUGGAGCCUCAAAAGAUGAGUGAAAGUUCACCAGGCAAAGAAAUUGAGAGAGAAGGUGGGGACGGAGCUGGUGUCGGGGGUGAGACUGGGAAGACAGCGAGCGGUAUGUGUUGGUGUGGGGAGGCCCCACUAGUCCCGUGUGCUGGAGCAGAGUGGGAGCAGGGAAGGUGGGAGAGCUGGGCAGAGGGAAAGAGUUGUGUGGGAUGCAGAGGGCAGGGAAGAAGGGCUCCUGAAGACUGCACUGGAUCCUGAGGACAGUGGGGUGGUCACUGAAGGAUUUUAAAGGGGUCGGAUUUGUGUUCUAGAAAGAUCUUAUGGGCUGGAUCUAUGCCAGUCUGGUUUAUGACUGUUUUCCCAGCACCCAGCUCAGUAACGGGCACACAGUAGGGGCUCAAUAAAUGUUUUCAAUCAAUACAUGAAUGACAACAGUGUACCCUGAGGCUGUGGUUGACUCCAGCACUGGGACCUUGGGCCCUCAGUUUCCUUACUUGUAGAACGAGGGUAACAACACCUGACUCUUGGCAGGUGAAAGGAAGUAGCACGUGCAAGGCCUCCCUCGGUGUCCUGCACGUGGUCAGCCCACCACGACCCGAGCAGCAUGUGCUGUGGGCAAGACACAGGCAGGGACCCGGGUCAGGAGCGGUGGAGUUACCCAGGUGAGGGAAUAAUAUUAACAACAAUAAUGUUUAUUAAGGGCUUAAGUUCUGGGACUCCCUUAGUGGUCCAGUGGUUAAGAUUCUGCGCUUCCAUUGCAGGGGGCGUGGGUUCGAUCCCUGGUCGAUGAACUAAGAUCCUACAUGCUGUGUGGUGUGGCCAAAAAAGAAAAAGAAAAAAAAAAAAGGGCUUAAGUUCUUCACACAUUUUAUUCAUAUAAUCUUCAAGACAAGUGAAUGGAGAAGGCAGUAUUUUAUAGGUCAUCCCAAUUUUAUCGUCCAGGAAACUGAGGAUCAGACAGGUGAGGUGACUGGCCCGAGGCCCUGAGGCCAGUGAGUGGUGGACAGAACUGCACUGGACACCAGAGCCCAGCUUGUGACCACUAAGCUGGUGAUGGAGACAGGUCAGGGCAGCCGCCAGGGCAGGGAGAGGUGGGGGGACAGAGUCAGACUGAUGGACCAGAUGGUGGGGGCAGGCCUGGGAGAGGGAGGUAUCAAGGAUGCCCCUAGGUUCUGGCCUGGAUGACCAGGUGGAAGGUCAUUCCAUUUCCUGAGUGAGGGACACAGCAGGAUAGGCAGGCUUGGGGAGGAAGGACACGCUGAGUCUGAGGGGCUGUUAGGGUGUUUGGGUAGAGAUGCCCGGGAGGUCUGGAGUCUAGGCGGGGUGGUCUGGAUGAGGGUGAAAUGAGCUCAUAGGGCAAGUGGAAGGCAUGUGGGUGGGUGGAGGAGCCCCAGCCCUGGAGGUGAUGUCGACAGCAGAUGUUACACAGCGUUGACUCUGGGCCAGACAUGAUCCUAAGCCCUGGUAUUAUUUAAAUUCUCCCAACAAAUCCUGUGAGGGAACACCAUUACCAUCCCCAUUUUAUAGAUGGGGAAACUGAGGCAAGAGACAUUCCGUUUGGAAUGUCAGAAUAGGUACAUCUGUAGAGACAGAGAGUAGAGUGGUGGUUACCUAGGGCCUGGGAGUUAAGGGAGUUAAGGGAUGAUGUCUAAAGGGUACAGGGUUUAUCUUGGGGGGUGAUGAAAAUGUCCUAAAAUGAUUGUGGUGAUGGCUGCACAACUCUAUAAAUAUACUAAAAAAACAUUGAAUUGUGUACUUCAGACGCGUGAAUUACAUGUCAAUAAAGCCAGGGGAGAGAGAGAGGCGCCCAGCCAGUAGAGGGAAGCAGGGCUUGGAGGGGCAGGGGAGCCUCAGGAGUGGGAAGGAGGGCGGUUUGGGUGAGAAGCUGGGGGAGGAUUGAUGCUGCUCCCGACUGGUCCAGGGUGUGAGACCUGGAUGUUCCUUGGGGUUUGUCAGUCCAGGUUCCCUGGUGACCUGGUCCACACUGGUUGGGGACCCGGCCCUGUGGGUGGACAGGCCCUUCUGGCAGUGGAGAUCGCAAGAGGAGUGCGUCAUCCUUUGGGACCUGGACAUCCUUGCCCUGGAUGGAGAUUUCUCCACCUCAGGAAGCAGUAAACCCCCAACCAGCAAUUUUUGGAGGCUGGCUGCACCUGACUUUGGGUGGAGGCUGGGGAGGAAUGAGGGUAGGAAAAUGCCUCAGUUGCUCUUCCUGAAAGAGCGAGACCCCCAGUCAACAGCUCACCCAGAAGUUUCGCACCUCAGCUUCUCCCACAAGAGGGCCCCGGAGUCUGCUGGGAGUCCAGGAGGACGGGAGGGUGUGAAGGGAAGGCUGGGGUAUGGCGGUCCCCCUUCCUCCCGGCACUGAUGCUGGUCACCGCCAGGAGCACAUCCAGGCCUCCCGACUGAGAAUGGCUGCGACCGACCCAUGGUCCCAGCCAAGGAUGGGGAUGCGUGGAGAGGCUCGAGGGGCCCCCUGGGCGUGACCCAGGCGUGGGGCAUGUGAAGAGCAGGAGAUGAGGCAGCUCUGGGCAGCUCCCCAGGCCUUCUGUGGCCACAGCCGCCAUGCCCCUUCUGUUCAGGGCUCAUUCAGCACCCCUGCACCCCCGCCCCAUGCCUCAGGACUUGUCUCCGUGAUGCAGGAGGCUGGCAGGGAGACUGGGCUAGGCCUGCGCUCAGGACCUCCAUGGGGCCAGGAUCCCGUGAGGGGGGCGGAGCAUGCGUAAUUCUCUCAGGAGGCUGAGGAUGCGUAAUUCUCUCAGGAGGCUGAGGCUCAGAGGGUCUUGCUGGAGUCCCUACACCCCCAUCAGGCACUUCUCCCUGGGGAGCUCCUCACGGCCCCACUCAGAGCCCAUUUCUUCUGCUUUAUUUCUAUUUUUAUUUUUUGCGGUACGCG